CACCUGGAGAGAAUGAAUUUUGGCCAUCUGAACAUAUCAUAGUUGAUCCAGUUCAUGGAGGUGAAGACUAUAUGACACCACCGCCUAACCCGGAGAACUAUUUUCCACAUUUUUCUUGCCCUGACGGUUGGACUAACUACGAUACUCACUGUCUCCUCUACGUUCCAACAAAGAUGACUUGGGAUCAGG